rnacentral:sRNA from 1 species
AAUGUCAAAGAGGUUGCACGCCACGACAAU